GAAACAUCUUAGUACCCGGAGGAAGAGAAAGAAAAUUCGAUUCCCUUAGUAGCGGCGAGCGAAACGGGAAGAGCCCAAACCAACAAGCUUGCUUGUUGGGGUUGUAGGACACUCUAUACGGAGUUACAAAGGACGACAUUAGACGAAUCAUCUGGAAAGAUGAAUCAAAGAAGGUAAUAAUCCUGUAGUCGAAAAUGUUGUCUCUCUUGAGUGGAUCCUGAGUACGACGGAGCACGUGAAAUUCCGUCGGAAUCUGGGAGGACCAUCUCCUAAGGCUAAAUACUCUCUAGUGACCGAUAGUGAACCAGUACCGUGAGGGAAAGGUGAAAAGCACCCCGGAAGGGGAGUGAAAUAGAACCUGAAACCGUGUGCUUACAAGUAGUCAGAGCCCGUUAAUGGGUGAUGGCGUGCCUUUUGUAGAAUGAACCGGCGAGUUACGAUUUGAUGCAAGGUUAAGCAGUAAAUGUGGAGCCGU
rnacentral:rRNA from 1 species